AGGGAGUUGUGGCAAAGAAAAAGAAGGUAGCCACACCCUACUAUAAAGGUAAAACACCUAUCUUAUCUUAGAAACAUAACACUAUCAAAUAUUUCAGGUGUUUAGAAUCCGGGUACAUUGCUUCCCAAUGCUUGAAUCAAAGGGUGAUGUUGUUAAAAGAAAAUGGCUAGAUCGAUAGUGGCUUUGAAAGCAAUAGCAUGUCAUCACUAGAGGAUGAGGAUGAGGAGAAUGAGUACGCAGCUCAAUGAGAGUCCCUGAUUAUAAGGAAAGCCCUCAACAUCCAAAUAGAGGAUGAUGAUCAGAUAGAGAACAUAUUCCAUACACGGUGUCUUGUGGGUGGAAAAAUAUGCAGCAUGAUCAUCGAUGGAGGUAGUUGCACCAACGUAGCUAGCACAACACUUGUUAAGAAGUUGGGAUUAGCUUGU
rnacentral:lncRNA from 1 species